rnacentral:sRNA from 1 species
CCGACGCGCCUUUUAGGCAUCCUCUUCCAAGACUUUACGGGCUCGGCUAAUGGCCGAGCCCUUUUUCGUUUGGUGC